CAGCAGUCAGUUAAACCACUUAAGCCCUUUUCCUACAUGAGUUUUGAAGUGCAAUAGCUGAAAACAGCAUUUUUCUUGGGAGCGUCUAUAUCCUAUACUUUGAGUGGGUUGUUCUAAAGGACCUUGGAGAUUGCC